GAUAAUGACAGUACCUGAAAAACAAGCCACGGCUAACUACGUGCCAGCAGCCGCGGUAAUACGUAGGUGGCGAGCGUUGUCCGGAAUUAUUGGGCGUAAAGGAUGCGUAGGUGGAUAUUUAAGUGGGAUGUGAAAUCCCCGGGGUCAACCCGGGAACUGCAUUCCAUACUGGAUGUCUAGAGUGCAGGAGAGGAAAGUGGAAUUCCUAGUGUAGCGGUGAAAUGCGUAGAUAUUAGGAGGAACACCAGUGGCGAAGGCGACUUUCUGGACUGUAACUGACACUGAGGCAUGAAAGCGUGGGUAGCAAACAGGAUUAGAUACCCUGGUAGUCCACGCCGUAAACGAUGGGUACUAGGUGUAGGAGGUAUCGACCCCUUCUGUGCCGUCGUUAACACAAUAAGUACCCCGCCGGGGGAGUACGGUCGC
rnacentral:rRNA from 1 species